UACGGAGGAUGCAAGCGUUAUCCGGAAUGAUUGGGCGUAAAGCGUCCGCAGGUGGCGAUGUAAGUCUGCUGUUAAAGAGUGAGGCUCAACCUCAUAAGAGCAGUGGAAACUACAUAGCUAGAGUACGUUCGGGGCAGAGGGAAUUCCUGGUGUAGCGGUGAAAUGCGUAGAGAUCAGGAAGAACACCAGUGGCGAAGGCGCUCUGCUAGGCCGUAACUGACGCUGAGGAGCGAAAGCGUGGGGAGCAAACAGG
rnacentral:rRNA from 1 species